rnacentral:rRNA from 1 species
AUGUGCCUUUUUUCCGACUCUUAUAUAUAUCACCUCCACGGGGACAACCGGCUAAGAGAGAAAAAACAUAAGAGGCCUCAGAGCCCAAAAAAAGAGAGAAGAGGCCUUAAGAGCCCAAUAGAAAAGGAAAGAGGCCUUAUUAUUGCCCAGAAAAAAGAAAAAGAGGCCAGAGCCGAAAAACCCCCCAAGGCCCGUGCCCACACAAAAAGAAAAAAAAAGACAGUACCCUUGGAGGCUGUGCUAGACAUUAGCACAUGGCGUUUUGUAGUUUUGAACAUUUUUAUUUUUAACUCUUAUGUAUUUUUUCAUACUCUUAUAUAUAAUAUAAUAAUUGUUACCGAUGAACUUUGCCUACUGUACUUCCACACCAUUUUCUUUCAAACUAAUGGCAUAAACCACUAA